UGAGCAACCUGCCCCUGACUCUGGGAUAAGCGCUGGAAACGGCGUCUAAUACUGGAUAUGUGACGUGACCGCAUGGUCUGCGUCUGGAAAGAAUUUCGGUUGGGGAUGGGCUCGCGGCCUAUCAGCUUGUUGGUGAGGUAAUGGCUCACCAAGGCGUCGACGGGUAGCCGGCCUGAGAGGGUGACCGGCCACACUGGGACUGAGACACGGCCCAGACUCCUACGGGAGGCAGCAGUGGGGAAUAUUGCACAAUGGGCGCAAGCCUGAUGCAGCAACGCCGCGUGAGGGAUGACGGCCUUCGGGUUGUAAACCUCUUUUAGCAGGGAAGAAGCGAAAGUGACGGUACCUGCAGAAAAAGCGCCGGCUAACUACGUGCCAGCAGCCGCGGUAAUACGUAGGGCGCAAGCGUUAUCCGGAAUUAUUGGGCGUAAAGAGCUCGUAGGCGGUUUGUCGCGUCUGCUGUGAAAUCCCGAGGCUCAACCUCGGGCCUGCAGUGGGUACGGGCAGACUAGAGUGC
rnacentral:rRNA from 1 species